rnacentral:lncRNA from 1 species
CUUCACACAUGCUCACUCUCUCCUGCUGCCAUGUGGGAAGGUCCAAGCUUGCUUACCCUUUGCCUUCUGCCAUGAUUGUAAGUUUCCUGAGGACUCCCUAGCCAUGCAGAACUAUUGACAACUGAAAACCCCAUAGCCUCAAGUUCCCCUGAUGGCCGGAGUCCUCCUCACCUAAGUGCUCAGCAGGCAGAACUGUCACACUGCGCACCUGGGACCUGACUGGAAGCAAAGAGAAGCUAUUCUUCAGAACCCAGCAAAACACCUUCCUUGGACUUUAUAGGCACCUCAGUGUUUGCUGACUGAGCCAGGCAACUGAUCAACAUAUUUCAUUAUUUUCCUGAAGAAUUACCACUACCCUUUGAGGUGAACCCCUAAGCUGGGAUGGACUGUCGCAUGGCCGUCGGUGCCUGUGUCUCCCCGUCUCCAAGCCUCCUCUCUCCCUCCCAGUGCCCCGUCAUCUUCAUCCCACUAGAAGCCCAAGCCUCUUCUAGUGACCCUACAUUCUCAGAGCCCCGAAGCAGAGAACAGAAGCUGCUUCUACAGCCGCUCCAGACCCAGAGGCCAGACCUCACUUGUGAGCUGUUUACAAACACAGGGUCCUAGAGCCCAUCUCAGACAGACCUGCUAAAUUGGAACCUGCAUUCUGAUGAGACUUUAAGUAUGUGAAGCACUGGUCUAUAUCAUUCUCCUGGGGCAUAGUUUGAGCUUUGUCUCCUCAAACUUGCAUGUGACCUGGGACAGGUCAGAACACAUCUCUCGGGCCUCAUUUUCUCAUUUGUGGGGAGGAGGAAGUAAAGCCACUCCAGGGGACAGUGUGAUAAACAGAGCAGGCUGUGGAGUCUGGCCGCCUGUUGCACCACUAGGUCAAGUGACCCAAACUCUCUAUGCCUCAUUCUACUCAUCUGCAAGAUACCAACAGGAAGGAAACAGCCUCAAAGGGAACCAAUGCUUUGCCCAAGGACACUUGGCACUAAAGCGGAAAAACUGGCCCCAAACCCAGAUUUUCUCAAGUCCAGCACUUUCUGCACCGUGUGUUGGGCCUCAAUUUCAAAGAUGACAAAGCUUCAGGACCUGUUUCAGUUUUGUCUUACGAAUGGAUUUGGCAAAGAAGGCAGUACAGUUAAUCCUGGCUGCAACUGCUGGAAAAUUUGCUACACCCUCCUCAGUGCUAGCUGUGUAUUGAAUUUGGAACCUCAAACAAAGCUUGAUAGAAGGAAGACAAAAAAGCUUCCGUUUACAUUCCAUUUUGGUUCCCCAUUUGACUUCAAAGAAAGGAAAGAGAAGGAGGAAAUUCACAUUUUUGUCAUUGUUACAGUCACUUUAAUUAUGCAACGUUUUGUUAUGAAACACAGUUUUCUUUUUAUGAAAUAGUGCAGCCCUUUGGAAGCAGUGAAAAUGCUAAGUUCAGAAAAAUUUUACAUGGCACACCAUUGAUCUGCAUGAUGAUAGAAGGAUAAUUAAGAUGCUGUAUCUUAAUUAUCUGGUAGCAGAAAUAUGAGUCUCCUAGUCUCAAGACUUCAAACAGUAAGCAGUGGACUGUACAAGAUCACGAGGCAGUCAUCCCCUCUCUGCUCUGUUCCCUCUCCUCUACAAUCCUUGGAGAAAGCUGUAUAGGUUGGGUUGUCCUCAAAACCUUAGACAUAUGUGAAAUACACAGGAUUUUGGAAA